CUGUGGCAUUCUCUAUCCUUGGGUUGUUCCUAUUGGUCUGUCUGCUACAGACCUUCUGGAAGAAGAUCAAGAAAUGCUGCAUAAGAAAACAGCCCUCACUGAAAGAUAAAAUCUGCAAAAAAGUGGGCUCGAAGAAGUCUAAACCUCCUUUCUCCAUUAGCAGUAUUAUAGACAAAAAAUGACAUUAACAAUGUCAAGC